rnacentral:lncRNA from 1 species
UUCUUUUCCCUUUGUCUAUUUUUUUUUUUAUUAUUUUCUUUGUUUAUGAGCAGAUCGUCCAAGCCGAACCUCCUCUACGAAAGUGAGAUCGAGAAAACAGAAAAGAGAUUGAGAAAGGAGGCUAAGGCGAGGAAGCUACUGGAUCUGCUGGCUUCACAGUCCGACCUAUCGGAUCGAACGGAGCAGUUCAUCGAGGAGAAGCCCGGUGCUGUAGCUGCUGACGAGG